CACAUUGAAACACCAGUUUCCGCAUGAUCACCGAAGUUAAGCUACGCCGAGUCUGAUCAGUACCUUGAUGGGUGACCGCUUGGGAAUACCAGGUGCUAUAA